ensembl:lncRNA novel transcript
GGCCCUGGCCCUUUCCAGAGGACAAUAGCCUUCAUGCAAGGGAAAAUUCCAUCGCCCAGGGUUCAAGUCUCCAAGGAGUUGCUGGGGCCUCUAUUUAGCCUGGAGUGGGCUCUGAGGAGCCGCUGCAGCUGCCCGGCUUGUUUUCCCCCUCGCUGUGUUUUAUUUUUAACCCCUGAGCUGCCAAGGAUUGUUUUUCCCCAACCAGUGCCUGGGAACUAAGGGAGGGAAGAAAUAAGGCUUUGUUCCCUUUGGGGAACUAAUUGGGAAAGACAGGCAGUGUGGCCAGCUUGGCUCUAUUAGGGUGUGGGGCUCCCACCCCUCACUGCACAACAUCUUCACCCCAAUCCAUACCCAGGAGGCUGGGAGUGCAGAAGUGCCCCCCAGGAUGCAACCAGAGGCCCGGGGGCUGGUGGGAACGCAAGUGCAGCUUCAAGACUGCAAAGGCAGCUCAGAGCCACUUUCUUGGGCUCCGAAGAUAUUCAGGAAAUAAGAUGUUGGGAGCUGGAAAUGUCUAUUUUUCCCAUUUCAACCCCCCCCAAACUAACCCCUGCUUUUCUCCUGCUGGUGGUGGUGGUUGUUGUUUUCCAGACCUGCAUAAUGAACUCUAGAAGAAAAGUGAGGGAACUCAAAAAAGUAAGAAACCAGAAAAUAAAGACAUUAUACUUUUAAACACUAGGCUAAUCAAUGGGAAACACCCAGCAACCCCACUUAUAAGUUUACUCCGUAAAAAAUAUUCCUUAUACUCAGAAAUUUAAUUUCAUUGCAAAUCAGCUAGGAAUUAAUGAAAAAUUUCUUCCACGGCCAUUUUAUUUUAAGAUCAAAUGGAUUCCAGAUAGGGACCCAUUAAGAAUCUAAGGACCAUUUUGAUCCCGUCUAGGAACAGAGCAAAUUUCUAAGGAAUCACCCACUUGCAGCAAGCCAGCACAUUCAAGUUAGGGCUGUGGCAUAUGACACCCAGUGCGUUCAAGUAAAGACUGCUCGUCUAUUUACCAAGAAUAUUUGAGAAAAGAAAAUGCCCCUGCCUGGUGGACAAUAGCACAAAGCAUUUCUCUGUACCUGGGCACAUUUGUUCCACUCGAUAAAAGAGGACCCCUGACCCAGGUACACAGGCAGUUGGAGAAGAGGACAACGAUGAACUGAUACAAAGGUAAGAGGUUCCCGGUAGCAUUGGAAGAACACAGAUUGGUGCAUAAUGCAUGGCAUGUGCAAUAAAAGUAAGUUGCAUUAAAACUUCAGCCUUGUUAAUGACUACAAAAAAAAUUGUUAGAAAGAAUGAAUAAGAUCUUGGCCAGGCACAGUGGCUCACGCCUGUAAUCCCAGCAUUUUGGGGGGCCGAGGCAGGCGGAUCACCUGAGGUCAGGAGUUUGAGACCAGCCUGGCCAACAUGGUGAAACCCCAUCUCUACUAAAUAUACAAAAAAAUUAGCCAGGCAUGAUGGUGCACGCCUGUAAUUCCAGCUACUUGGGAGGCUGAGGCAGGAGAAUCUCCUGAACCCGGGAGGCGGAGGUUGCAGUGAGCCAAGAUCAAACCACUGCACUCCAGCCUGGGAGACAAGAGCGAAAAGAAUGAAUAAGAUCUGAUAUUUGAUAGCACAACAAGGUGACUAUAGUCAAUAAUGAUUGAAUUGUACAUUUAAAAAUAACGAAAAGAGUAUAAUUGGAUUGUCUGUAACACAAAGGAUAAAAGCUUUAAGUGAUGGAUACCCCAUUUACCCUGAUGCAAUUACUACACAUUGUAUGCGUGUAUCAAAAUAUCUCUCAUGCCCCAUAAAUACACACACCUACUAUGUCCCGACAAAAAUUUAAAAUUUUUUUUAAUUUUUAAAAAUUUGUUGAAAAACCAUCAGCCCUGUUAAGUUGCUCACACGUGCUGUUGCAGCCCCAGCUCACCCGGUAGUAAAUCCUGCUGACACAGGGUCCCCCACAGCUAUGGGUCUAUCCUUCCUCUGGUGUGGCAAGACUACAUUUUCAGGAAGCUGCUGGGCAGAAUGAAGCAACUCAAAGCUCAGGAGAAGUGUCUACGUGCCUUUUAGGGUUGGGGUUUAACCCAGCACUCAGGGAUUUCCCAGCAUGCAGACAAAGGCACUGACAGUUACAGCAGAAGCUGGAAGGGUGAGUCAAGCCAGGACUCAGCACGCUUGAACCCAUCCACAGCUCCCACUCACAUCAUCCCACACUCCCUUUUCACAUUUACUCCAAGCAUCUGGAGCCCCAAGCUCCUGUGCCUCAACCCAUGCCCUCAGUAACAGUAUCCAUUGCCAAGCCAGAAUUGACUCCGGGCCCACCUUGCCACUCACUCAGAGUCUGUGAGGAGUGGGCACCGCACGCAGCCGUGAAACAGGCCAACUCACAGGUGGGCUCCCCACUGCACGUCUUGUCCGAAAAGACACCCCUCAGCCCCAUCAGUGUUGACUUUGCAUUGCGCCAUUAGAUUAUUUCUUUCAGCUCUUCUUAAGACAAAUGGCUGGCUGUUGGGAGGCUGGCCAGGGUUAAGGUGGAGCCUCAAUGUGGCCAUUUUCACAGCCCCGGCAAAGCCUGUGGUUGAUGCCAAACCCCCAUUGAACUGAAUAGAAUGGAGGAAAGCUAACCAACCCACCAGAAUAAUAAUCACUAAUGCUAUGGAGUGAUCACACAGCAAGACUGUUCUAAGUGUUUUAUGUGUAUUCAUUUAUUUUUACCUCAUCAUAAGUACUAUUAUUUUUCUAUUUUAUAGAUGAGAAAACUGAAACAAGGUCACAAACCAGAUGAUCUAAAGGGUAGCCACUACUGCCUCCUAAAGAACCCCAAUCAGGAAUCCCAGAUUAAUUUGCCCAGCAUCCUGUUUGGAAACCACAUGUCCACCCUGCAACUGUACCUGGCUUGUGUCCCACAAGGAGGAAGAUGCAGGGGACUCCGGAAGCUAAGGAGGAGAUUGUGAACUCAGGCACCAAAUCCAACAAGCUCCCCGAGGAACUUACAACAGUCUGUUUUACAGAGAAGUAAAUGUUGCUGAGAGAGAAAAUUGUCAGGCCUCGGUGUUCCAGAGCAAGAGGCAUUCCUUCAUUCCCAGAGAGGCCCUGGGCCUCAGCAAGCAAGCCCGACAAGCCCUCCGCAGCCAG